rnacentral:rRNA from 1 species
ACGUAGUUAGCCGUCCCUUUCUGGGUAGUUACCGUCACUUGAUGAGCUUUCCACUCUCACCAACGUUCUUCUCUACCAACAGAGUUUUACGAUCCGAAAACCUUCUUCACUCACGCGGCGUUGCUCGGUCAGACUUUCGUCCAUUGCCGAAGAUUCCCUACUGCUGCCUCCCGUAGGAGUUUGGGCCGUGUCUCAGUCCCAAUGUGGCCGAUCACCCUCUCAGGUCGGCUAUGUAUCAUCGCCUUGGUGAGCCUUUACCUCACCAACUAGCUAAUACAACGCGGGAUCAUCUUUGAGUGAUGCAAUUGCAUCUUUCAAACUUAAAACUUGUAGUUUAAAGUUUUUAUGCGGUAUUAGCAUUCGUUUCCAAAUGUUGUCCCCCGCUCAAAGGCAGAUUCCCCACGCGUUACUCACCCGUUCGCUGCUCAUCCAGUCGGUACAAGUACCAACUUCAGCGCUCAACUUGCAUGUAUUAGGCACGCCGCCAGCGUUCGUCCUCGUAGCCGUAGACGUAACCG